UGCCCAAGUCUAACAUGUUGUUGCCCCCCCCAGGUGCGUGCCCUGGAACGGCGGGUGCAGCAGCUGUUGGAGGAGCUGAGGGGCCAGAGGCAGAGAGCAGGGGCCAUGCAGCGAUGCCUGGAGCAGCAGGAGAAGGAGCACCGGCAGGAGCUGGCGGAGCUGGAGUGGCACCAUCGGGAAGCGCUGGAGCAGCAGGGUACCCGGUUGGACAUUCCUGUGCCCCCCCACCGCCCACCAAACAAGGUGAGAGAGGUGUCGGUGCCAAGGGGCAGAAGGGACCGUAUAAUGGGCGAAUGGACCCAGCACCUCGUGGAGGGGAAGAGCCUAUAUCCCAUUUCCCACCCCUGUGAGCCAGCCAGGCUCCUGCUCUGUAAGAGCCCACAUCACUCAUACACCUGUCUUCAGCAGGGCCUGGGGGGAUCAGAGCAGGAGCAGCGCCACCCAGGCUGUGGCCAGCGCAGCCUCAGCAGCUUCCGGCAGGAACGGGCACCCGAGAAACGAGGGGCAGCUGGGAAGGUCAGAGGUUCCUCACCACAGGGUCCCUGAGUUGUGGGCAGGCUGGUGCCCAGUGGGGAGCGGGGCCAGGAGCCGGAGUCCCCCACAGAGCUGCAGGCCCUGAGGGCUGAGGUUUUGGGGCUGCGCCGGCGCCUGGCUGCCUUUGAGAGCCUGCGCAAGGGGCUGCUGGAAACCUGCUGGCAGCUGCGUCAAGGCACCCGGGACCUGACUGGGG
rnacentral:lncRNA from 1 species